CCUUCCUCCAUUAAAUCAGCACUUUUGGAAUUUUUGAGCCCGGAAUGCACGCAACCCACAACAUCCAGAUCUCAAAGGACCACUCACGUGAGCAUCAAAUAAUUCAGCUAGCUUAAUUAGCAAAGCGAAGAAGAGUAAUUCCAAAUUCUCAAGUGGAUGAAGAAAUGACAAAGAUCGGAAUUAUGGAGGUGUAGAUGCAACACCACCAGCUGCCAGUGUGUGCUCCGGUGUUUUAGUGGUCCACUGGCUCCUAAUGACAGCAUAACCACCGUUUAAUUAGGGUUUGGUCCCUGAAUAAUGGAUAGGCAUAUAUCCAUUUCCAUGAGCUAAUUGGCUGCUGUUCAGCUGCCUGUAAUAUAUUCCCCUGAUCAUGUGUGGCAUGCUUUCUUCCAGCACUGUGCAGUGUUCCUCCAGCUUGUUGGUUUAGUGGGCACGUUUGUUUAGCUGCUCACAUCAACUUGCUUCAUGUGCUAAAUUUUUUGAUUCCAUGGUCCAAUUUUCAUUUCUAUUUCUAUUUUUGA